GAGGAAUAUUGGUCAAUGGUCGGAAGACUGAACCAGCCAUGCCGCGUGAAGGAAGAAGGAUCUAUGGUUUGUAAACUUCUUUUAUUUGGGAAUAAACCUCUCUACGUGUAGAGAGCUGAAUGUACCAAAUGAAUAAGCACCGGCUAACUCCGUGCCAGCAGCCGCGGUAAUACGGAGGGUGCAAGCGUUAUCCGGAAUCAUUGGGUUUAAAGGGUCCGCAGGCGGGAAUGUAAGUCAGAGGUGAAAUCCUACAGCUCAACUGUAGAACUGCCUUUGAUACUGCGUUUCUUGAAUUCGAUCGAAGUGGGCGGAAUAUGACAUGUAGCGGUGAAAUGCAUAGAUAUGUCAUA
rnacentral:rRNA from 1 species